ACAUCGAAAGCUUGCUUUUGAUGGGCGUCGACCGGCGCACGGGUGAGUAACGCGUAUCCAACCUGCCCAUCACUUGGGAAUAACCUUGCGAAAGUAAGACUAAUACCCAAUGAUAUCCCACGAAGGCAUCCGAAUGGGAUUAAAGAUUUAUCGGUGAUGGAUGGGGAUGCGUCUGAUUAGCUAGUUGGUGAGGUAACGGCCCACCAAGGCGACGAUCAGUAGGGGUUCUGAGAGGAAGGUCCCCCACAAUGGAACUGAGACACGGUCCAUACUCC
rnacentral:rRNA from 1 species